GACGAACGCUGGCGGCGUGCCUAAUACAUGCAAGUCGAACGAACUCUGGUAUUGAUUGGUGCUUGCAUCAUGAUUUACAUUUGAGUGAGUGGCGAACUGGUGAGUAACACGUGGGAAACCUGCCCAGAAGCGGGGGAUAACACCUGGAAACAGAUGCUAAUACCGCAUAACAACUUGGACCGCAUGGUCCGAGCUUGAAAGAUGGCUUCGGCUAUCACUUUUGGAUGGUCCCGCGGCGUAUUAGCUAGAUGGUGGGGUAACGGCUCACCAUGGCAAUGAUACGUAGCCGACCUGAGAGGGUAAUCGGCCACAUUGGGACUGAGACACGGCCCAAACUCCUACGGGAGGCAGCAGUAGGGAAUCUUCCACAAUGGACGAAAGUCUGAUGGAGCAACGCCGCGUGAGUGAAGAAGGGUUUCGGCUCGUAAAACUCUGUUGUUAAAGAAGAACAUAUCUGAGAGUAACUGUUCAGGUAUUGACGGUAUUUAACCAGAAAGCCACGGCUAACUACGUGCCAGCAGCCGCGGUAAUACGUAGGUGGCAAGCGUUGUCCGGAUUUAUUGGGCGUAAAGCGAGCGCAGGCGGUUUUUUAAGUCUGAUGUGAAAGCCUUCGGCUCAACCGAAGAAGUGCAUCGGAAACUGGGAAACUUGAGUGCAGAAGAGGACAGUGGAACUCCAUGUGUAGCGGUGAAAUGCGUAGAUAUAUGGAAGAACACCAGUGGCGAAGGCGGCUGUCUGAUCUGUAACUGACGCUGAGGCUCGAAAGUAUGGGUAGCAAACAGGAUUAGAUACCCUGGUAGUCCAUACCGUAAACGAUGAAUGCUAAGUGUUGGAGGGUUUCCGCCCUUCAGUGCUGCAGCUAACGCAUUAAGCAUUCCGCCUGGGGAGUACGGCCGCAAGGCUGAAACUCAAAGGAAUUGACGGGGGCCCGCACAAGCGGUGGAGCAUGUGGUUUAAUUCGAAGCUACGCGAAGAACCUUACCAGGUCUUGACAUACUAUGCAAAUCUAAGAGAUUAGACGUUCCCUUCGGGGACAUGGAUACAGGUGGUGCAUGGUUGUCGUCAGCUCGUGUCGUGAGAUGUUGGGUUAAGUCCCGCAACGAGCGCAACCCUUAUUAUCAGUUGCCAGCAUUAAGUUGGGCACUCUGGUGAGACUGCCGGUGACAAACCGGAGGAAGGUGGGGAUGACGUCAAAUCAUCAUGCCCCUUAUGACCUGGGCUACACACGUGCUACAAUGGAUGGUACAACGAGUUGCGAACUCGCGAGAGUAAGCUAAUCUCUUAAAGCCAUUCUCAGUUCGGAUUGUAGGCUGCAACUCGCCUACAUGAAGUCGGAAUCGCUAGUAAUCGCGGAUCAGCAUGCCGCGGUGAAUACGUUCCCGGGCCUUGUACACACCGCCCGUCACACCAUAAGAGUUUGUAACACCCAAAGUCGGUGGGGUAACCUUUUAGGAACCAGCCGCCUAAGGUGGGACAGAUGAUUAGGGUG
rnacentral:rRNA from 1 species